rnacentral:lncRNA from 1 species
GAUGAACUCUAGAUAGGGCAAAGGGGAAAAGGGGAGGGAUGGAAAGGAAGUGGGUAUUGUUAUGGGGAGCUGCCUCAGAAAACACUCUAAGUCCCAAUUAAAACAAAAGAGAGCUUUAGGUACGUGGCCAGGGACUGUCUUUUACCAUACCUCCUCUCCUCAACUUCCCUGGCCUCAGUUGACAAGGACUUGGAGGUUGGACCUGGCUCUGAAGCCAACAAGUGGCUCCUAUCUAUCUCCACAUGGUCAUGAGCCCUGUGCUUGUUGUGUGGCUGCAGUGAAGCCUGGGGAGCCCAGGGCCUUUGGCCUUUUUAACCAGAACUUAGCUGAUGCUUUUGUCCAGAGCCUGUGAGGCUGGAGAUUUCUCUCUACUCUGGCCAUCUGCUUUUCUCCACAGCUGUUUUUCUUUCUGCCAUUGUUUAUCUUGUCCAUGUUCCUGUAAAUUUAGGCUGAUGGGAUAUUUUCAUAGGAAUAAUAGCUCUUCCCCUUUGCUGAGUGUACCCUGAGCAAGUGGAAUGUCCUGUAAACCUGAAAAGGAGACCAUCCCUGUCUCAAGUCAUAAUACAGAAGUUUCAACAGCCACUGCUAUGUUCUUUUAUGUCUCUUUCCCCAGGUUGGGCAAAGGAGGUUGAAGGCAGGGCACAGUCCGAGUCAUCUUCACUUACUUCUCUAAACCCCAGCAGCUUUUCUGGAAAUUAUCUUCUGACAUAAGGCUGGUUUUUCUGACCCACAGUGGGAUGUUCUGCAGAUGCCUGGAACUGGGCUAAGAAACAGUGCUGGGCAAACUUUAGUUUUCUGGUGUCUUGCUAUUCUUGCACACAGGAGGGUUAUACCAUGAACUUAGUCUUAGGCCAGUCGGACUCCUUAUGUAACUGCAUGGAUACCUGCCUAUGUAGAAUUUCUUCCAUUUACCUAUCUCUGACAGACUAAUUCCAGUAGCAAAAUUAUAUAACAAUUCAGAAAGUCAUUCAGUGGCCUGAUACAGUAAAACAUCAGCUUUUCCUUAGGCAGAAUUAUAUCUAUUUGUGGCCCACUCAGCCAGGAUUGUUUCCAAGAGUCUACAGGUGGGAUCAAUGCACUAUUGUCUAUGUGUUAAAGGGCCAGUGACAUUCAGUUCAAAAAAAAAGAGACAACCAGAGUGGAUCCCCCAACCAGGGGCAACAGAAGGAACCCCUUAAAAAAGACUAGCUGGGGAAACAUCUCUUAGGUCCCCAGCUGCUAUUUUACCAGAACUCUGACACCAAUUGUGCCAUAGAUGUCCACAGAUAGAGGGACCAGAUGUUCCCCUGUAGGGGACCUGAUGUGUAGACUCCAGGGUCUCAGUGUGCACACAGGAGGAGCUUGCCAGAUGUCCACGUUGGCAUGAUUUCAUUGCAUUCAUUUUCCUUUUCCCAGAGUAGACCCAUGUUAGAAAAACCCACACUAUUCAUGAAGAGAAGACAAGAGGUCCUUGAAGCCAAGUAUCCUUGGCAGCUCCUGGAAAGACCCAUCAGACCUUUCCUUUACUUACAAUUACCCUUCAUCCAGGACAACCUGAGACAAAUGCACUAAUUUGUCUAAUUCUCCAGACUCAGCUGUCAAUGGAUUAAUCAGCACCUUGCAUCCUCAGUGUGGAAGUGGGGUUGCUCUGAGUGCCAGGCCUGCCUGAGAAGGCUGGAGGGGCACUCUCAGUUCUCUUCAUGGUGACUAAAUCUGAUAGCAAAAUCUUGGUCCUUAUCCCUAGUCCUGAUCCAAUAAUGAGAACAAGGUUUUGAGAAAAAUAAAAAGAAAGUUUUAUUGCUUUGCUACCAAAAGAAAAAUAGAGGGGACUCCUGUCUCAGAAGCUGUGAUUCCAAUGGCUAGUGAAUAGAGGUUUCAAAGUAGUGACUCAAAGUCUACCCACAGGCUGUGUGCUGUCAGGAGUCAUAAUUCCCUUUUAGCCUUGAGAGAGAUAUUUUUUAGAACUUCCAGUGCCAGCUGUAAAGUCUGUAUUUCUUGGUUCCUGUGGAGCAUGAGCUGAAGGACAUAUAACCUGGCUUAAGUUCUGACGUAACACACAAAGUAGGUUAACCUAAUUUUCCCCAGGGUUAGAGAAACAUAAAGGGAAAACAGAAAGAAAAAACCAAGUCAGUUUUAAAAUAAGUCUCAGUGGAAGAGAGCAAGGGUUAUGUUCAAAGCAUGAAGAGGACCCUGACACAUUCCUUGGGAGAAGCAAAUGGAACACCUGGCAGGUGGGAGUGGGUGGGGUUGAUGAAGAAUAGAAAGUUUAGAUCAAGCUGGGCAAUGUAGUGGAUGCCAGUAGUCCCAGGGACACAGACAUGUAGGCCAGAAGCUCACAAGUUCAAGGUCAGCCUGGAGAACUUAGUGAAACCAUGAAAGGUCAAAACAAUAGAAAGAGUUGGGGAUAUAGCUAAGUUUUAAAGUGCCCUUUAGUUUAAUUCCCAGUAAUACCACCAACAAAAGAAAAUUCAGAUAUAAGAUCAAAGAAUGCUUUACCAUGAAGCCAGCAUGUACUUAGAAGGGGACAGAAAAAGAGUGUGUGUUGGCUGGGGCUGAGGUCAGUCAGUCUCAAUGGGGCUAGAGGCAGGAGGGAAAUUAAAGCCAAUAUUAAGUUAACAAAUAUUUUGUUCUGUCCACUAAGAGCAAACUGUUCAAUUAUUUGUUUGUGACUGUUUGGAUGGUUAUAGUUAACAUAGAGGUAAUCAUCAAAGUUAUAAUCAGCAGGGAGACUUUUUAUAUUUUUAUUUUUUCUGAGUACUAGGGAUUGAAUCCAGGGGCACUUAUCACUGAACCACAUCCUCAGCCCCUUUCUACAUUUAUCUUAAACAGGGUUUCACCAAACUUUUUAGAGCCUCUCUAAGUUGUUGAACCUGGAUUGGAAUUCUUGAUCUUCCUGCCUCAGCUUCCUGUUUUCUGUUGCAGAAAACAGACAUUAAAAAUGUCUGUUUUGUAAUUGUAAUCCCCUGCUGGGGUUACAACUGUGCACCACCAUGCCCUAAUCAGGAAGGGUGAAUCUCUAAUAUGAUGCUGUAGAAGAAUAGCAAGGAUGGGUCAAUGAAUUCAGUUGGUCAUUUUUUAGGAUUUAAUACCUGCUGCAUAUUCUGCCACAUUCCAUGUUCUGUGUGUCUUUUCUGACCUAAUUUUCCCCAUGGUUAGAGAAACAUAAAGGGAAAACAGAAAGAAAAACCAAGUCAGUUUAUUUAGUCAUUGCUCAUAAUCAUUUUUUCCUUUUUUUAUUAUUAUUAGUUGUUCAAAACAUUACAAAGCUCUUGACAUAUCAUAUUUCAUACAUUUGAUUCAAGUGGAUUAUGAACUCCCAUUUUUACCCCGUAUACAGAUUGCAGAAUCACAUCGAUUACACAUCCACGUUUUUUGCUCAUAAUCUUACCAUGUAUUUCUUAGAAUCGUUUUUUAUAUUUUUGCUUGAUUGUACUACUUUUGAGUUUUGUAUAACCUACUUUUCCCACUGCUAUCCCAUUAGGAUUAUGUUAAGACUUUCUUUCUUUUUAUUUUUAACCAUUUCUUUGUAGGGUUUCUUUAGUUUUAGUUUUCUGGUGUCUUGCUAAUCUUGCACACUUGAAUUUUCUUCUCAAACUACUAUGGAACAUGCAGACUAUUACUUCUCCACUGUUCCAGUAUUAUGUUUAACAUGUUUAAAUCCACUUUGCUUCACUUUCUUAUCAAAACAGUCAACUUGAACUCUGUUUAAAACAUAUGGUGCACAUGUCCCCCCUUUAUCAGGAGUCCUCUGUUCUUUCACUUUCAUCAAAGCCAGGCCAGGCAUACGUGACCUGUGAGAUUCAAAAGGUUUUCUUUUUGAUAAAUGGACAUUGGAUUGUCUUGGUAUCUUAGAUUCCCAUUGGGGAUGUUUCUGGGUCAUUAGAUUUGCUGAAUAAGUGAACCCUGCUUUAUUUACAUUCCAUCUGGAUGCUCCACUAUCUAUAAAUACAGAAAACUUAAUAAAAUGCACAUUCAUUGCCCCUAAGAACAAAGUAAGUCCUAAAAGAACAGAAUGAUUAGAAGAGACUCAAUCUCUACAAUGCCAUGGAAAGUCUGCUGAAAUACUUAUUAUGUCAUUUAGUUUUGAUUUGGCUACAGAUAUCACAGCAAUGUUGAUGUGUCCUUUUAUGUUGAUUGACACUUUGUAUCAAUCUGUUCUAUUUUUUCUACAACUCUUUUAACCUUAUUUGCUU